rnacentral:lncRNA from 1 species
AGAGUCCGGCUGCCUGGGGCGGGCGGCGCGUGUCUGCAGCUGCUCCGGGUAGCCCGCUAGGCGCGCCGUCCCCAGCCCCGCCGCCGGCCCUCGGUGCGCCCGGCCGCCUGCACCCCCAGGAGCAGCUGCUGUGAAUAAACACAGAAGUGGAGCUGGGGGACUGAUUAGAAGCCUCAUUCAGUGCACCUGGGCCCCAGCAGGCCCAGCCAGGCGUGGAGGAAGAGGCAUUGAGGACUUUCCUUACCUGUUUUUCCAGCUCACCCACUGCCAGCAGAGGGAGAAGGUGAUGGGGACAAGGAUGAGGCUUGAAGGAGCAGCUAGACAUCUGGAGGAAGAGUGCUCCGGGCAGAAGGCCCAGCAGGUGCAAAGGCCCUGAGGCUGGAACAGGCAUGGUGUGUUGGAGGAAUGCAAUGAGGCUGGGGUGGCUGGAGCAAACUAAG